UGGGGAAUCUUGGUCAAUGGGCGCAAGCCUGAACCAGCGAUGCCGCGUGAGUGAUGAAGGCCUUCGGGUUGUAAAGCUCUGUGGGGAGGGACGAAAGAAUCGGUUCUAACAGGACCGAAGUUGACGGUACCUCCUUAGCAAGCACCGGCUAACUCUGUGCCAGCAGCCGCGGUAAGACAGAGGGUGCAAACGUUGCUCGGAAUCACUGGGCGUAAAGGGCGUGUAGGCGGGUAGGCAAGUCGGGCGUGAAAUCCCUGAGCUCAACUCAGGAACUGCACUCGAAACUGCUUAUCUUGAGUGCCGGAGAGGAAAGCGGAAUACCUGGUGUAGAGGUGAAAUUCGUAGAUAUCAGGUGGAACACCAGUGGCGAAGGCGGCUUUCUGGACGGUAACUGACGCUG
rnacentral:rRNA from 1 species